CGUCACUGUUGGAAUUGUGUGGGAUACCCCCACCUCGCAUUCCCAGAGCGCGCGCGUUGAAGCCCCGGCGUCUGUGGCACACAAAGCAGCAGCAGCAGCAGCGCAUAACGGGGCCUGUGGGAAUCCGGGCGGAGUUUAGUCAAACGCGCUUUGGUGAGCGUGCUUCGGCUGGGCUGGGUGUGGUUUUCAAAACUCAGUUCCGUUAGCAGGAAACGACUCUAGGACCACCAGUAACGUUACUUCUCUGCGCGACAAAGACGCACUGAAAAGUGAAACUUUGUCUUCGGGAGCUGGAAGAGAUUUGAGGAGAAGCUUUUCCACACGGCCGGCGGUGGCGUUUGAUCACUCUUGCGCGUGGACGUCAGCCGAUGGGAAAAAGUUUGGCUUUCUGUUGACUUCAUUGUAUCAGCUCAGUUUGUGACACAUCCGUGAGAGAAGAGACUAAAUACCGACAAAAUGCCGAAAACGAUCAGUGUUCGUUUGACUACGAUGGAUGCCGAGCUGGAGUUUGCCAUCCAACCCAGCACCACAGGAAAACAGUUAUUUGACCAGGUGGUGAAAACCAUUGGGUUAAGGGAGGUGUGGUUUUUUGGACUGCAGUACCAGGACACCAAAGGCUUUACCACCUGGCUUAAACUCAACAA